rnacentral:rRNA from 1 species
UACGUAGGGGGCUAGCGUUGUCCGGAAUCAUUGGGCGUAAAGCGCGUGUAGGCGGUCCGGUAAGUCCGCUGUGAAAGCCGGGGGCUCAACCCUCGGAUGCCGGUGGAUACUGCCGGGCUCGAGUCCGGAAGAGGAGUGUGGAAUUCCUGGUGUAGCGGUGAAAUGCGCAGAUAUCAGGAGGAACACCAAUGGCGAAGGCAGCACUCUGGGACGUGACUGACGCUGAGACGCGAAAGCGUGGGGAGCAAACAGG